GAUGAACGCUGGCGGCGUGCCUAAUACAUGCAAGUCGAGCGAACGGACGAGAAGCUUGCUUCUCUGAUGUUAGCGGCGGACGGGUGAGUAACACGUGGAUAACCUACCUAUAAGACUGGGAUAACUUCGGGAAACCGGAGCUAAUACCGGAUGAUAUUUUGAACCGCAUGGUUCAAAAGUGAAAGACGGUCUUGCUGUCACUUAUAGAUGGAUCCGCGCUGCAUUAGCUAGUUAGUAAGGUAACGGCUUACCAAGGCAACGAUGCAUAGCCGACCUGAGAGGGUGAUCGGCCACACUGGAACUGAGACACGGUCCAGACUCCUACGGGAGGCAGCAGUAGGGAAUCUUCCGCAAUGGGCGAAAGCCUGACGGAGCAACGCCGCGUGAGUGAUGAAGGUCUUCGGAUCGUAAAACUCUGUUAUUAGGGAAGAACAUAUGUGUAAGUAACUGUGCACAUCUUGACGGUACCUAAUCAGAAAGCCACGGCUAACUACGUG
rnacentral:rRNA from 1 species